GUGCACUCCAUUAUUAAAACAGAAGGGGAAACAAAAGGAGACUGAGAGGAUUGCUUUUGAAGGGUCAUGUUGCAGCGGCUUCUGCUGGAUACUAAAAAGCAAAUUAUUAUCGGGGGUUGUUUGUCAUUCACAGGAGGAAUUGGAUUCCUUUAUGUUUAUAAAGUCACCUUGGUAUCUGGAAGGAGAGCAGAAACUAACAGAGCCUACUUUACUUAGGAAUGUAGGAUGCUAAUUUAUUUGCCUUUUUCUUAUAUUAAUAUCCUUAUCUGUAAAAAGGGGGAAGAAAAUAGGGCUGUUUUGAGGAGAUGUGGCUGAGAAAACAGAAAAAGAGAAUUACAGGCCUGAAAUCCCAGCACUCUGGGAGGCUGAGGCCCCUGGCGCUGGUUCUCUCUGGAGGUUGAGUUUCCGUGGGGAGAGAAGAGUGCCCAGCGUGACCACCGUUGGCUGACUUCCCAUGCCUUAUUCCUUGUUUCCCCCGCUGGGGCCCAGCCCACCAGCCCCGCAGUGCAUGAAGCCACUUAUCACCACGGUUCCCAGAGAGGACGGGCUGGCCCAAGUCUGCAUUGUCACCUGCUCUGGGGAAAACAAAGCCCUCUCCCCCGCCCUCCCCGCAGCAUGCUGGGCACAGGGCCAGCCCGUUCUAUGUUUUCAGUAAAUUUUCA
rnacentral:lncRNA from 10 species